rnacentral:rRNA from 1 species
AAUUGGAGGGCAAGUCUGGUGCCAGCAGCCGCGGUAAUUCCAGCUCCAAUAGCGUAUAUUAAAGUUGUUGCAGUUAAAAAGCUCGUAGUUGAAUUUCGGGGUCAGUAGGUUGGUCGUGCCACAGGUAUGAACUGGUCUCACUGAUUCCUCCUUCCUGAUGAACCGUAAUGCCAUUAAUUUGGUGUUGCGGGGAGACUGGACUGUUACUUUGAAAAAAUUAGAGUGUUUAAAGCAGGCUAACGCUUGAAUACAUUAGCAUGGAAUAAUGAAAUAGGACGUUCGGUCUUAUUUUGUUGGUUUCUAAGAUUGACGUAAUGAUUAAUAGGGAUAGUUGGGGGCAUUAGUAUUCAAUUGUCAGAGGUGAAAUUCUUGGAUUUAUUGAAGACUAACUACUGCGAAAGCAUUUGCCAAGGAUGUUUUCAUUAAUCAAGAACGAAAGUUAGGGGAUCGAAGACGAUCAGAUACCGUCGUAGUCUUAACCAUAAACUAUGCCGACUAGGGAUCGGAUGAUGUUAAUUUUUUAAUGACUCAUUCGGCGCCUUACGGGAAACCCAAGUGU